rnacentral:rRNA from 1 species
CAAAAGAGAUCCUAGGUGAAGGGCUUAGCUAGCCGAAGAUAGAGCGGUUUAGCUAGGGGAGGGUAAAGGUUGGGGAUGAGCUCGGGAUCGGUCAUCGUUGACAGCGCGGCGGCGGCCGGCGAGGCACGCCGAGGUGGCGGACGGAGAGGCACGUCGACGACGGACGGCGCGGUGGAGGACGGCGAGGACGGCGACGACGGACGACUCGGUGGCGGGCUGCAACUCUUCCAGCAUCGAAACCGCCGUCGCUGUGAUGGAGGCCGCGACCAUGGAUUUAAAAACAUCCGGAUUUUACAAGGAGGGCCGAUUUAAACUGAGGACCCAGGCGGCGACAGGUCCCCACUUAUUACCGCAGCGCCGUCCGGCGGCCGGAGUGGCUGAUGCUCGCCGAGGCGCUCCUCUUGUAGGCGGCGUUGCUCCGGUAGGAGCGGAGGGAGGCGGCGUUCCGGCUGCUCGAGAGCCGCCGGUAGUUCAGGAGCAGGUUUGCUCCUGUUCCCGCGGGGUCGUUAGUCGGGGCGUUCUUCGGGCGGCGGUUCUGUUCGGGGCCGCUCGAGGCGGCGAGGGAGGCCGAGAGGGUCGAGGGGGGGAGGGUGAGGGGCCUGCGGCUCGGGUGCGGGCCCGGGGGAGGCCACGGGGCGUCGUGGUCGAAGAGGAGGAGCGAGCGCAGGAGGUAGUAGCUCAGGCGGAGCGAGCGCGGCGGACGGUCCCGAGCCCGCCUGCCAAAGCUACGGCCCUUCCUCGAGCACGACUGCGGACGCUUGCAGUCCUUCCACCACGGGCUGUCCUAUGAACCCCAAGCCCAGGACGGCGACCAGCUGGCCUGGCACCAGCGCCGCCCCUUGUUCAACCCCUUAUAACCCAAGACCCAACACCUGCCGUACCACCUUCUACUCCUACCGCUGCUACCACGUCUACCCGACAAGCUCAUAAACGGAGUGUCCCCGGGACACGGUCGUUAGCACCGCGUGGGACGGCGCGGUGUCUUCUAAAUGUCGACAUCAAUACUCCCACUUUAAACAGAAUACCUGGAACUCUUCCUCUCGAAAUUAUACUAGGUCAACACGCUGAUAGGACAAAUAAGCGAAACAGUUCGUGGUCUAUCAGGAUCGACGGAUAUAAAACCACUGCCUUUACCACUUGACUUUGAGGAACUACUCGCCUACCCAUUCCAUAGUUCGUGUACCCUAAGUGUACUGUUAUGUUAAUUGAGUUAUCUAAAAGUAGGUCUCUUUUCUGUAUACGAACGGUGUUCAAGUUGUCUAGCUUGUCGUGCGUAUACCCUAGAGUCUUCCGAAUUUUCCUUCUUUCUUCUCUCGAACUUCCAAGAUUUUGUAUUAUCUAGACAAGUCAGUCGAAUAAAGAGUGGAUCACCGUCGUACGAUCGUUGUUGUUCGGAGCUACUGUGACAGGCUCAGAAAACACCCCUACUGAAACUAUCCAGUGUGUAAUAGUUCGUAUUAUUGGUCUGUCCGUCUACCUAAAGAUGUAAGUUCCGUUAGACCCCGACCUUGCUGUGGCUGGACAAAUAACCUUUGUACUCUUCCCGUUAUCUAUAAUAGAGUCAACCACCACUACUGUCAUCGGAGAGUCGAAGCUUGUCGCGUUCGGACCUCUCACUUGUGUACUGCCGGUAAGGUACGUCCAAAAGGCGUGUGGGUAUAUUUCAACCCGUAGAACGAACGCGUUCGAGGCCACCCUUCCACAAGAAAACCUGGUCUCGAACUUAGUUGUUCUAGAGGCCACCGACUGAACGCUUAACAAUGGCCAAGACAAUCUCACAAUCAAUCAGUACGAUCCUUGGAUCACGAACAAAUCAUAGGACGAAUUCUAAUCGUAUCACAUGGUAAAAAGGAAGAUUACAAAAUCACCACCUCGUGAACUUACGACAGUCUCUUUGGGACCCGUCGACCCUUGGCCAAAAGUGACGGUCUCACAAAAGUUCGAGCAUAGGAAUGUAACAAAGGACGGUCAAGGACUACGUUUAGGAUAGAUCAAUCGCACUUGUAAUUUAACUACGGCAAAACCAACAGUUCAGGUCUACGCGAAACAAGACUUCGUGGCAAU